GUCUCGGUCGUGGAUCCCCGCCCUCCUCCCCACCGCCGCCGCGACCGCGCACGCUCCUCGCAUCCCGCCCGCCGCGCUUCUUUCCAUCCUCUUCCUUCCAUACCCACUCACCGCCCCUCGGCUCUCCGUCGAUGGAAGGGCGCCAUUGACGCCCCGCGAUCCUCGCUACCAUCCCCACGAGGCCAUACCCUCCCCGCACACACAGAUCUUGGAAGAGGCCGCCACCCCGCCCCCGUUCUUGGCCCCAUCACCCUCCCCACGCGAUGCUCGCCUACCCCACACAAUGCACCCCUUCCUUGCCUUGGUGGCAAGCUUGUCGACGUCGAGGCAGAUGCGGGAGAUGGACUUGGCGGCCCGCUCCACCUUGUCGGCGCGCCGCUGCUCGAGGAGGCGCUUGGCCUGCGCGGCGGGCUCCUCGAGCAGCACCAUCUUGGAGCGGUCCUCCCCCUCCGCCCCGCUCUCGCUCGCGCUUUCGUCGCCGCCGUGGUCCGCUGUCGCACACGCCCUCCUGCCCCUCUGCUCCCCUCCCAGAUCCCGUGAUCCGCUGCCGUGAUCCGAUGCCGCACCCGCCAUCAACGCCCUCCUCCCCCUCUGCUCCCCUCCCAGAUCUCGUGAUCCGCUGCGAGGCCGCCAUCAACGCCCUCCUCCCCCUCCGCUCAGCUCCCCUCCCAGGAUCUCGGCGCGCUUUCAUCGCCGCCUUGAUGGUCCACGGCUGCACCCACAUACGACAUCGCCUGUCCGCACGCAAGCUUCUGCCUGCGCCCACCUGUGUGCAUAGAUGUGUGCCCCCGCCCACCUCUUCUGCGCCCAAUCUUUACCCGUCGUCCGCGCCGCUGUUCCAUCCUCGCACCCACGCCCGAGAUCCACAUGUGCCGCACCCCAGCCGUGCUCCGGAUGCUGCACCGCCCUUCCAUCCUCCGCAUGCAGCACCAUGUUGGCCGCCGCCCUGAAACCUCGCUACCACGGAGCUGCAAGCCCCCGCUUCCAAACCAGCACCAUGCAGACUUCCAAUUUGUUUUUUGUUUGGAGCACUGUUGAUUUUUUCUCGUUUUUUUGAGAACAUUACAUUGCCCGUCUUUCACUGUUCAACUUUUCUUAAUUAACCAUUUACAUUUACCAAAAACUUAUUCAACUUUUCACUGUUCAAGUUCAAUUUGUUUUGUGCAGUAUUGAUCUGUUGUGCAGUGUAUACUUUGAGGUUCGGUUGGCCGAUCUUGCGAUCGAAUACCAAAAACUUGUGCGGUACUCUGUUGCUGAAUAAAACUUGGAUCAGGUUACCCCAACCCCAAUGGCAUUUACCGAGCCGAUGGAGGCGAACCUGCUACGCCAAGUGCUGGACUAUCCCCCCAGUGCUCUGUCCAUGUCCAUCCCUCCUUCAGCUUCAUUGAUGGUUGCACUGCUCUACUAUACUAUAAGUGAAUUGAGUUAAAGCAUUUUUUGUUCGACUACUGUUUGGUGCAUGCAACUUAAUAUGGCUGAUUUUUAGUCUUUCUAUUUUAGUUUAUAAAUUGUCAAUCACAGGGAUUAAAAGAGACUAAAAGUAAGGUUUCAGGUUCUAUUUCUAUCCAUCUUUAAUUAAGGGCUGAAACGAUACUGUCUUGAUUCCUAAUUCACCUAAUAUUCCUAGACCAAGAACGACUCGGGUUAAUGGUCAGGGAUGCCAAAUUGUUUCAGUAAAACUAAGCAAGCUCGUAUGAUGAUUAUGUACCUACUUGAGAACAAAUUGUCUAAAACAUAUCUGCUACUACACUUCAGUAAAACAAUUGAUCACACACAAGAAGUUCAGAUCAGAAAGCAGGCUGUCGCUACUCCCGUCAGGUUCUCGGAUGGUUCCCGUCAAGGGCUGACCAUGGAGAAGAGCACAGUGGUGGUCAGUGUCCCUGUUGUUGUCAUGGCCGAGACUGCUGAGACCGACUACAGCUCGAGCUUCUCGAUGCAGAGUCCCAGAAAGAUGUUGGGAAGGGUGAUAAAUCAAGGGAUAAGGGAACUGCUGAGAAGUUUGCAAUAUAUCAGAAGCAUCGUUCUUCGUUGGCAGACACUGUUCAAUUCAGGAGGCCAGCUGCUCCAACUUCCAGUGUGAAUGCUGAUAUUGUGGGAACAUCCACUCUGCAGUCUGCAUCUCUACCGAAACAAGAACCCUCAACAGCUACAUCCAAGAGCUAUACUUUCAGAGAAGGUGAUAGGGUGCGUUAUAUGGGUCCAGCUCAGUUAUCCUCAUUGUCACAAAGGCUCCUCUCCUUUUGCUGGCUUCGCUGUUGGAAGCGAGACAUCAUGUGGUGUGGAUAACGUCCUUGCAGAGCACGUGAACUCAAAUUUCACUCUAAUGCCAGCUAGCUGCUACAUAGUGCACUUCUGUAUAUUAUGAGUAUGUAUACAGAAUUUUAAAGUAUGAAUACAUGUGUUUUAAAGCUUGGACAACCAA